AUUGAGCGCUGGCGGCAGGCUUAACACAUGCAAGUCGAGCGGAUGAAGGGAGCUUGCUCCUGGAUUCAGCGGCGGACGGGUGAGUAAUGCCUAGGAAUCUGCCUGGUAGUGGGGGAUAACGUCCGGAAACGGGCGCUAAUACCGCAUACGUCCUGAGGGAGAAAGUGGGGGAUCUUCGGACCUCACGCUAUCAGAUGAGCCUAGGUCGGAUUAGCUAGUUGGUGGGGUAAAGGCCUACCAAGGCGACGAUCCGUAACUGGUCUGAGAGGAUGAUCAGUCACACUGGAACUGAGACACGGUCCAGACUCCUACGGGAGGCAGCAGUGGGGAAUAUUGGACAAUGGGCGAAAGCCUGAUCCAGCCAUGCCGCGUGUGUGAAGAAGGUCUUCGGAUUGUAAAGCACUUUAAGUUGGGAGGAAGGGCAGUAAGUUAAUACCUUGCUGUUUUGACGUUACCAACAGAAUAAGCACCGGCUAACUUCGUG
rnacentral:rRNA from 1 species